rnacentral:rRNA from 1 species
GACAGAGGAUGCAAGCGUUUAUCCGGAAUGAUUGGGCGUAAAGCGUCUGUAGGUGGCUUUUUAAGUCCGCCGUCAAAUCCCAGGGCUCAACCCUGGACAGGCGGUGGAAACUACCAAGCUGGAGUAUGGUAGGGGUAGAGGGAAUUUCCAGUGGAGCGGUGAAAUGCGUAGAUAUUGGAAAGACCACCGAUGGCGAAGGCACUCUACUGGGCCACUACUGACACUGAGAGACGAAAGCUAGGGGAGCAAAUGGG